UAUGGUAUAUCCACCGUCAACAAGAUCCCCCAAGCUUAACCUUUGCUCGUCCCGAGCAAACAAUCAAACUUAGCCUCGGUGGAUUAGGUAUUGUUACUAUGUUCACAUUUCAAGAGUACCAUGUGUACAACAAAGUUCUUCUCUUUGCAUGAAAAAUUUAGCUAUGUAAACUUACCCCUAUUACCUUAGUCCCUUAUGGGGCUUAUGGCUUUUCCUUUGUCUUAGGUGGUUGAGAGACAGAACAGUUUGACUUGAGCACUAACUUUCUCAUUCUUAGCAAGUUUCAUAUCAGAGGUUUUGUGAUAUUUUCAAAAGAAAGCUUAAAUGUUCCUCUUAUGGUUCUCUCAUGUCACUCAAAUGGUGUAUGAUUCCUCACCAAGGCAUAUGGUAAGAGUUGCCUUCUCUAUUUCAUCCUAUUUCUAAAAGGCUUAUGUGGAGUUCAAGGUAGGGAUGAAAGGAGAUAGCAUACUUACUUUGCAUAUAUUGCGAAGUCAAAGCUCGGAUCCUUGAAGAGAAGUGUCAUACUCCCAGAUCAAGAUGUGCAAGUGUGAUAUAUGGUGGACUAGGUUGCUCCUUUAUUUGAUAGACUCUCUAUGUAUUGAGACAUGGCUAGCAUUUUUUUCUUCUUUUUUUUUAUAUGAGCUUUCAUGUGCUCAAUUUUCUUUUUCUGUGGACUUGCACAUGUCCAUCUUUUUAUUUCAUUUUGCCUAGCCUUUUGAUGUCUCAUUUACCAAAUAAUGCUUAGAGAGAUGUUCUAACAUUUAGAGUAUGGAGCAACCUAUUUAGUGGAUGCGAAAUACAUGUGGUUGCGUACUUCCAGUGUAGAAGCAGCAUAUAUAUAUGUGGUGUGUACGUGAUCUUGAUCUUAGGAGCAUGAAAAGUCUCUUAACAAGGGUCAACAAGACUUGACGACACUCAACACAAAGCAAAUAGCUUAUGUGGAAAGAUUGCAAUUAUGUAAAGUAGAUAUGGCUGUGGUAGGAAUUCAUCACCAUUGAGGAACAAUUAAGGUUUUGAUCAUUUUAGGAAUAAAUCUCUGAUAAUCAUGCAUGCUUAGAAAAAUAUUAUAGUAGCUCUUGUCUUACUAUCUCAUGUCCCACAACAACUUAGACUUAGUUCUAGCACUUGCAACCCACAAAGUUUUUAGGUUCAUGGCAGUUUAAGUGAGAUAAGUGAUCCAUACUUAGAGAAAUACUAAGUUGUAUACUAGGUACUAGAGAAACAUUAACAAGCAACUAGUCAUCAUUUCCAUAAGGGAUAUAAACAUACAUGAAGCAUAUAUGCUAAAGGGAAAUGUUAAUAAAUAUUUUUUUUUAAGUAAGAAUGAUAAAAUGCAUGAAAAUAAAUAGGAUAGAAUACUUACCUUAGUGGGGGAGAGGAUCUCCCCCAAGCUAGAUCUUCGCUCACUGUGGUGGCGGGAAAUUCUGGUACCAUCCAGCCCAGCGUUGUGCGUCUUCCUCUCGCACACGUCGGAUAUGUUGGCCGUUUUGUAACGCCAGUUGCAAUGUUGCUUCUUGCCCAAUCUGCAAUUCGCCCAUGUCAUUAAUG
rnacentral:lncRNA from 1 species